rnacentral:rRNA from 1 species
AUUGAACGCUGGCGGCAUGCCUUACACAUGCAAAUCGAACGGUAACGGGCCUUCGGGUGCCGACGAGUGGCGAACGGGUGAGUAAUACAUCGGAACGUGCCCGAUCGUGGGGGAUAACGAGGCGAAAGCUUUGCUAAUACCGCAUACGAUCUACGGAUGAAAGCAGGGGGCCGCAAGGCCUUGCGCGGACGGAGCGGCCGAUGGCAGAUUAGGUAGUUGGUGGGAUAAAAGCUUACCAAGCCGACGAUCUGUAGCUGGUCUGAGAGGAUGAUCAGCCACACUGGGACUGAGACACGGCCCAGACUCCUACGGGAGGCAGCAGUGGGGAAUUUUGGACAAUGGGCGCAAGCCUGAUCCAGCCAUGCCGCGUGCAGGAUGAAGGCCUUCGGGUUGUAAACUGAUUUUGUACGGAACGAAAAGCCUUCUUUUAAUACAGGAGGGUCAUGACGGUACCGUAAGAAUAAGCACCGGCUAACUACGUG